AAGCAUGGCUAUUUAUUUAUUUUUGCUAUUUGGGGGCAUUUUAAAGAAUGGUUACGAUUUCUUUGGAAAUUUUUAAAAAGAUCAGUCAAUUUCCAUUGAAGGAUCUAUGGGAGCGUUAGUGGCCUGUUGUUGUUAUUGUUGUUGUUGUUUGUUGUUUUAAUACCAUCGAUUUACAACCAAACCCCUCAGCUUGCCAUCUCAGUGACUCUUUGCCAUUUCGGCAGCAAAUGCACACAGCAGUGAAAUCAACCCCCACUAAUGUGUUGAUAUCAAAUUGAUUUGGGGCUAACUUUUAGCUGUGCUGCUCAGCUGCAGGAAAGGACAUUUGUGCUGGGCUUGUAUGUGCGUGUGUGUGUGUGUGUGUGUGUGUGUGUGUUUAAAAAAGCAAUGUGACAUCUGCCCAUACUGAUAGCACACACUGACACGUUCAUCGCCUAUUUCAAUUCACCUGACGACAAUUAAGUGACAUUAAAGAACAAGCCCUCCUCAGAUUCUAAUUUUUCCUGACGCUGUGUUCAAUAUUGUAAUAGAUGGUGCCAAUAGAAGUUUGUCUCACACAGCUUCUUCCCUUUUCUUUCUAUAAUCUUCUUUAAUAAUUGCUGCUGGAGCCAUUCUCCUCCUUGAAUGAAGGACAGGACAGAAAACAACAUAGAAAAGACACCCAAGUGGAAUCAAGAGAAACAUCAAUUGGUUAAAAGGUUAGGCUACCUGAUGGCUCAUAGACAGAAACCUGAGCUGCAGCUCUCUCACAGCUGGAGAGGAAAUUUAAGAAGUCAGUGAAGGCUAGCUGUAACAGGUGCAGCUGCAGCUAAGCUCCACAGUGAUGAAAAAACCUAGGAUCUCUCUCUGGGACCAGAAAGAGGAAAGUUUACUAAAAUGUAUAAAGGACUGAACCAUAUUGGCUGGUACUUGAGAGCAACUUGUUACUUUAUUAUUUUGUAACAUCUAUCUUACUGUAACUAAUAUUUAAGAUUAUUCUGCAGUAAAGUUUUGAAACUCA